GGAGAAUGAUUGCAGCUCAGUAGCAGAGCAUCUGGUUUUGGGAUCCACAAGGUCCUGGGUUCAAACCCUGGCAUCUCCA
rnacentral:tRNA from 1 species